UGGGGAAUUUUGGACAAUGGGGGAAACCCUGAUCCAGCCAUCCCGCGUGUGCGAUGAAGGCCUUCGGGUUGUAAAGCACUUUUGGCAGGAAAGAAACGUCAUGGGUUAAUACCCCGUGAAACUGACGGUACCUGCAGAAUAAGCACCGGCUAACUACGUGCCAGCAGCCGCGGUAAUGCGUAGGGUGCAAGCGUUAAUCGGAAUUACUGGGCGUAAAGCGUGCGCAGGCGGUUCGGAAAGAAAGAUGUGAAAUCCCAGAGCUCAACUUUGGUACUGCAUUUUUAACUACCGGGCUAGAGUGUGUCAGAGGGAGGUGGAAUUCCGCGUGUGGCAGUGAAAUGCGUAGAUAUGCGGAGGAACACCGAUGGCGAAGGCAGCCUCCUGGGAUAACACUGACGCUCAUGCACGAAAGCGUGGGGAGCAAACAGG
rnacentral:rRNA from 1 species